rnacentral:rRNA from 1 species
UACGUAGGGGGGCUAGCGUUGUCCGGAAUCAUUGGGCGUAAAGCGCGUGUAGGCGGUCCGGUAAGUCCGCUGUGAAAGUCGAGGGCUCAACCCUCGAAUGCCGGUGGAUACUGUCGGGCUAGAGUGCGGAAGAGGCGAGUGGAAUUCCUGGUGUAGCGGUGAAAUGCGCAGAUAUCAGGAGGAACACCUAUUGCGAAGGCGGGUUGCUGGGCCGACACUGACGCUGAUGCGCGAAAGCCAGGGGAGCGAACGGG